AGGAAAACCUUAGGCUAGUUACUAUAUUUGACUAGCCUUUUUUGUUCAAAGAGAGCAAAAACAAUGAAGUGAACUGAAUCAUCUCAGUAGCUUUUUAUAGAAAUCAGAAGAGAAAGCAAAAGUAAAGGCGAUUGAAAUUGCUUGUGUUUA
rnacentral:rRNA from 12 species